GAUGAACGCUGGCGGCGUGCCUAAUACAUGCAAGUCGAGCGAACAGACGAGGAGCUUGCUCCUCUGACGUUAGCGGCGGACGGGUGAGUAACACGUGGAUAACCUACCUAUAAGACUGGGAUAACUUCGGGAAACCGGAGCUAAUACCGGAUAAUAUAUUGAACCGCAUGGUUCAAUAGUGAAAGACGGUUUUGCUGUCACUUAUAGAUGGAUCCGCGCCGCAUUAGCUAGUUGGUGAGGUAACGGCUUACCAAGGCAACGAUGCGUAGCCGACCUGAGAGGGUGAUCGGCCACACUGGAACUGAGACACGGUCCAGACUCCUACGGGAGGCAGCAGUAGGGAAUCUUCCGCAAUGGGCGAAAGCCUGACGGAGCAACGCCGCGUGAAUGAUGAAGGUCUUCGGAUCGUAAAACUCUGUUAUUAGGGAAGAACAAAUGUGUAAGUAACUAUGCACGUCUUGACGGUACCUAAUCAGAAAGCCACGGCUAACUACGUG
rnacentral:rRNA from 1 species